UACGUAGGGGGCAAGCGUUGUCCGGAUUUAUUGGGCGUAAAGAGCGUGUAGGCGGCCAGGUAGAUCUGCUGUGAAAACUCGAGGCUUAACCUCGAGCUGUCGGCGGAAACCAUCUGGCUAGAGUCCGGAAGAGGAGAAUGGAAUUCCCGGUGUAGCGGUGAAAUGCGCAGAUAUCGGGAAGAACACCCGUGGCGAAGGCGGUUCUCUGGGGACGGUACUGACGCUGAGACGCGAAAGCGUGGGGAGCGAACAGG
rnacentral:rRNA from 1 species